AUUGAACGCUGGCGGCAGGCCUAACACAUGCAAGUCGAGCGGAUGAAGGGAGCUUGCUCCUGGAUUCAGCGGCGGACGGGUGAGUAAUGCCUAGGAAUCUGCCUGGUAGUGGGGGAUAACGUCCGGAAACGGGCGCUAAUACCGCAUACGUCCUGAGGGAGAAAGUGGGGGAUCUUCGGACCUCACGCUAUCAGAUGAGCCUAGGUCGGAUUAGCUAGUUGGUGGGGUAAAGGCCUACCAAGGCGACGAUCCGUAACUGGUCUGAGAGGAUGAUCAGUCACACUGGAACUGAGACACGGUCCAGACUCCUACGGGAGGCAGCAGUGGGGAAUAUUGGACAAUGGGCGAAAGCCUGAUCCAGCCAUGCCGCGUGUGUGAAGAAGGUCUUCGGAUUGUAAAGCACUUUAAGUUGGGAGGAAGGGCAGUAAGUUAAUACCUUGCUGUUUUGACGUUACCAACAGAAUAGGCACCGGCUAACUUCGUA
rnacentral:rRNA from 1 species